CCUAAAGUGGGGGUUAACAUUUGGAAACCGAGGCUAAUCCCGCCUAAAACCUAACACCGCAUGGUGUAGGGUUGAAAGAUGGUUUCGGCUAUCACUUUAGGACGGACCCGCGGUGCCUUAGUUAGUUGGUGAGGUAAAGGCUCACCAAGACCGUGAUGCAUAGCCGACCUGAGAGGGUAAUCGGCCACACUGGGACUGAGACACGGCCCAGACUCCUACGGGAGGCAGCAGUAGGGAAUCUUCCACAAUGGACGAAAGUUUGAUGGAGCAACGCCGCGUGAGUGAAGAAGGUUUUCGGAUCGUAAAACUCUGUUGUUGGAGAAGAAUGUAUCUGAUAGUAACUGAUCAGGUAGGGACGGUAUCCAACCAGAAAGCCACGGCUAAUUACGUGCCAGCAGCCGCGGUAAUACGUAGGUGGCAAGCGUUGUCCGGAUUUAUUGGGCGUAAAGCGAGCGCAGGCGGUUUCUUAAGUCUGAUGUGAAAGCCUUCGGCUCAACCGAAGAAGUGCAUCG
rnacentral:rRNA from 2 species